UUUUACUAGACAUAAAAAAUGAGGUUCGCAAAACAUCUGUUUGUUUUGCAUCACACGCAAGUCCUUUGGCUGUACUUCAAUAUAUACUGUUAUCACUUUGUUCAUAUUGUACAAAAUAAUAUGCUGUCAUGUUUUCAAUACCAGCAGUACAAUCUAUUUUACCAUUGUGGAAAGUCUUAAUCUGAUCCAGUAGUUUCCGCUUAAGUGAAUUAUGAGCAAGCAUUGGAGAUACUUCGGCUUUUCAGGUGGAAAAGGGGCAUCUGACAAAUGAUCUUGGAGAGGCACGCAGAUAGCUGAGAAAACGCAGAAGGCAAAUGCAGAAUAUUACCUUCACUUGUGAGAGGACAGUUCUACAUAGUUUAAGCAGUGAUGGAAGAUGUCUAAUGGAGGCCCUGACACUGGGACGUGUAUGCAGAAUGCGAUUUAGCUGGCAACAGGGACAAGAAAUAGGGGAGUGAGAGGAAGGGAAAUAUCCAGAGAAAAGAAUGGAUACCUGCGAAUGUCUCAAGGUGGCCUCCGAUCAGAAAGAAAAGUAUUGAGUAUGGAAAUGAAUACCGAAGGCCAAAGUAUUUCCAUUGUCACAAGUGAGACAUAUCUACUCAGAAAAUUGGAAGUCGUGAGGACAGCCCAUCUUAAUUAUUGGAGUAUAUCUGGAUGAGUCGAAAAUUGAAUUGAACAGGAAAACAGUACAGACCAACUUUUACUUAGGUAACUCAGCAGCUACAGUGAUCGUCCAAUAUUGGUCCUUAUUACUGCAGAGUAAGCUGUUGUGGAUAGUGCAUGAUGUUUACUUCCUCUUGCUUGAAUAAUUCACAUUGGAACAUAGAAACAAGAGGAAGCGAAACCCUCAAGCUGGUGCCACCAUCUGGGAUCAACUCCACUGACUCAUCUUCGAUCCAUGUCCAAUAGUAUUCUUACCAAAUGA